AGAGUUUGAUCAUGGCUCAGAAUCAACGCUGGCGGCGUGCCUAACACAUGCAAGUCGAACGCGAAAGCCCGCAAGGGUAAGUAGAGUGGCGCACGGGUGAGUAACACGUGGACAACCUGCCUUCGAGUGGGGAAUAACCUUCCGAAAGGAGGGCUAAUACCGCAUAACACCUCGGAACACAAGUUCUGGGGUUGAAAAGAGCAAUUUGCUCGAAGAGGGGUCCGCGCCUGAUUAGCUAGUUGGUGAGGUAACGGCUCACCAAGGCUUCGAUCAGUAGCCGUCCUGAGAGGGAGCACGGCCACACUGGAACUGAGACACGGUCCAGACUCCUACGGGAGGCAGCAGUGGGGAAUUUUUGGCAAUGGGCGAAAGCCUGACCAAGCAACGCCGCGUGGGUGAUGAAGUAUCUUGGUACGUAAAACCCUUUCGGCAGGGACGAACCUAAUGACGGUACCUGCGAAGAAGCCCCACUCCGCC
rnacentral:rRNA from 1 species